CAAGGAACAGAAAACGAGUCACUCAACUGAACAAAGACUGAUUCCUACUGUAACAAACCUGAACUCAACACAGCACUCUCACAUAGGUAUCAGUGUCCACAGGAAGAAACAUCCCAGUGCCAGGGCAGAAAUUACUCACUCCGAUGUACAUCUGACUUAUCUCCACCCAAGUAUUUCAGUGCCUGGAGGCUUACUGCAGAUGUCCUUUUUGUGUACACGUCUGUGGAUAUGUUGAACAUUGUGCAGCCAACGCUCUCUUUUGGAUACCGGAAGAAACUAUCCACCAGUAAGGAGGACACAAAGAAUAAUCAAGCUGUGGUACAUGGCAAAUGCAGAAGUGACAAUCAACCUGCACAAAGAUGAUUGGAGCCAAAGUAAAUGUUGUUAUGUAUGUUGGAUUUUCAGUGAACACUGGAAUCUCAUUUAAAACUAUUGAUGCAUUACCAUGUGAUUGAAUUCUGUUCUUACACAACAAGACGUAUAUAGAAAUAAAUGACAAAAAAUGUUCAGGAAUAUUUUAGUUAUUAUUUUUAAUUAUUUAACACAGUCACUCCAGGCAUCACUGAAUCUCAGAGAUAUGUUAAAUCACAUUAUAGCUCAUGAUUUUCUUUUCCACAUUCAUUAGUUUUAUUUAAAUAAGAGAUUUUCUAAAAAUGUACUACUUUUUUUAUCUUACUAGUAGGAUUUUUUCUUUGUUUUUUUGUUUGGUUGGUUGGUUUGGGGUUUUUUGUUUUUUGUUUUUUUAGUAAGGAUAAGUUGCUAGAUUUUUUCUUGACUGAUUUGACUGUAUUUCUUCAAAAUUUCUCUUUAAGAAAAAUAAACAGCAACAUGUUAGAAACAGUAGUUCUAUCUCAUGUGGGCAAUCCUCCUUCUUGUCUUUUGUACUCC
rnacentral:lncRNA from 1 species